rnacentral:rRNA from 1 species
ACUCAGGUGUUGUUGGGUAGGGGAGCGUUCUGUAAGCCUGUGAAGGUGGCCUGUGAGGGUUGCUGGAGGUAUCAGAAGUGCGAAUGCUGACAUAAGUAACGAUAAAGCGGGUGAAAAGCCCGCUCGCCGGAAGACCAAGGGUUCCUGUCCAACGUUAAUCGGGGCAGGGUGAGUCGACCCCUAAGGCGAGGCCGAAAGGCGUAGUCGAUGGGAAACGGGUUAAUAUUCCCGUACUUGGUGUUACUGCGAAGGGGGGACGGAGAAGGCUAUGUUGGCCGGGCGACGGUUGUCCCGGUUUAAGCGUGUAGGUGUGUGUUCCAGGUAAAUCCGGUUCACUUUAACACUGAGGCGUGAUGACGAGGCACUACGGUGCUGAAGCAACAAAUGCCCUGCUUCCAGGAAAAGCCUCUAAGCAUCAGGUAACAUCAAAUCGUACCCCAAACCGACACAGGUGGUCAGGUAGAGAAUACCAAGGCGCUUGAGAGAACUCGGGUGAAGGAACUAGGCAAAAUGGUGCCGUAACU